rnacentral:rRNA from 1 species
GUUCAAAAGUGAAAGACGGUCUUGCUGUCACUUAUAGAUGGAUCCGCGCUGCAUUAGCUAGUUGGUAAGGUAACGGCUUACCAAGGCAACGAUGCAUAGCCGACCUGAGAGGGUGAUCGGCCACACUGGAACUGAGACACGGUCCAGACUCCUACGGGAGGCAGCAGUAGGGAAUCUUCCGCAAUGGGCGAAAGCCUGACGGAGCAACGCCGCGUGAGUGAUGAAGGUCUUCGGAUCGUAAAACUCUGUUAUUAGGGAAGAACAUAUGUGUAAGUAACUGUGCACAUCUUGACGGUACCUAAUCAGAAAGCCACGGCUAACUACGUGCCAGCAGCCGCGGUAAUACGUAGGUGGCAAGCGUUAUCCGGAAUUAUUGGGCGUAAAGCGCGCGUAGGCGGUUUUUUAAGUCUGAUGUGAAAGCCCACGGCUCAACCGUGGAGGGUCAUUGGAAACUGGAAAACUUGAGUGCAGAAGAGGAAAGUGGAAUUCCAUGUGUAGCGGUGAAAUGCGCAGAGAUAUGGAGGAACACCAGUGGCGAAGGCGACUUUCUGGUCUGUAACUGACGCUGAUGUGCGAAAGCGUGGGGAUCAAACAGGAUUAGAUACCCUGGUAGUCCACGCCGUAAACGAUGAGUGCUAAGUGUUAGGGGGUUUCCGCCCCUUAGUGCUGCAGCUAACGCAUUAAGCACUCCGCCUGGGGAGUACGACCGCAAGGUUGAAACUCAAAGGAAUUGACGGGGACCCGCACAAGCGGUGGAGCAUGUGGUUUAAUUCGAAGCAACGCGAAGAACCUUACCAAAUCUUGACAUCCUUUGACAACUCUAGAGAUAGAGCUUUCCCCUUCGGGGGACAAAGUGACAGGUGGUGCAUGGUUGUCGUCAGCUCGUGUCGUGAGAUGUUGGGUUAAGUCCCGCAACGAGCGCAACCCUUAAGCUUAGUUGCCAUCAUUAAGUUGGGCACUCUAAGUUGACUGCCGGUGACAAACCGGAGGAAGGUGGGGAUGACGUCAAAUCAUCAUGCCCCUUAUGAUUUGGGCUACACACGUGCUACAAUGGACAAUACAAAGGGCAGCGAAACCGCGAGGUCAAGCAAAUCCCAUAAAGUUGUUCUCAGUUCGGAUUGUAGUCUGCAACUCGACUACAUGAAGCUGGAAUCGCUAGUAAUCGUAGAUCAGCAUGCUACGGUGAAUACGUUCCCGGGUCUUGUACACACCGCCCGUCACACCACGAGAGUUUGUAACACCCGAAGCCGGUGGAGUAACCUUUUAGGAGCUAGCCGUCGAAGGUGGGACAAAUGAUUGGGGUGAAGUCGUAACAAGGUAGCCGUAUCGGAAGGUGCGGCUGGAUCACCUCCUUU